GACGAACGCUGGCGGCGUGCUUAACACAUGCCAGUCGAACGGUGAUGCUCCAGCUUGCUGGAGUGGAUCAGUGGCGAACGGGUGAGUAACACGUGAGCAACCUGCCCCAGACUCUGGAAUAAGCGCUGGAAACGGCGUCUAAUACUGGAUACGAAACUGGCCCGCAUGGGCAUGGUUUGGAAAGUUUUUCGGUUUGGGAUGGGCUCGCGGCCUAUCAGCUUGUUGGUGAGGUAAUGCUCACCAAGGCGACGACGGGUAGCCGGCCUGAGAGGGCGACCGGCCACACUGGGACUGAGACACGGCCCAGACUCCUACGGGAGGCAGCAGUGGGGAAUAUUGCACAAUGGGCGAAAGCCUGAUGCAGCGACGCCGCGUGAGGGAUGACGGCCUUCGGGUUGUAAACCUCUUUCAGCAGGGAAGAAGCGAAAGUGACGGUACCUGCAGAAGAAGCACCGGCUAACUACGUG
rnacentral:rRNA from 1 species